rnacentral:rRNA from 1 species
AGUGAACGCUGGCGGUAGACCUAACACAUGCAAGUCGAACGGCAGCACAGUAAGAGCUUGCUCUUACGGGUGGCGAGUGGCGGCCGGGUGAGGAAUACAUCGGAAUCUACUUUUUCGUGGGGGAUAACGUAGGGAAACUUACGCUAAUACCGCAUACGACCUACGGGUGAAAGCAGGGGAUCUUCGGACCUUGCGCGAUUGAAUGAGCCGAUGUCGGAUUAGCUAGUUGGCGGGGUAAAGGCCCACCAAGGCGACGAUCAGUAGCUGGUCUGAGAGGAUGAUCAGCCACACUGGAACUGAGACACGGUCCAGACUCCUACGGGAGGCAGCAGUGGGGAAUAUUGGACAAUGGGCGCAAGCCUGAUCCAGCCAUACCGCGUGGGUGAAGAAGGCCUUCGGGUUGUAAAGACCUUUUGUUGGGAAAGAAAAGCAGCAGGUUAAUACCCCGCUGUUCUGACGGUACCCAAAGAAUAAGCACCGGCUAACUUCGUG